rnacentral:lncRNA from 1 species
GACGUGGCGGGGGUCGUCGCGACUUGACCCCCAAAAAAAAUCUAGCACCAUCAUUUCCCCCUAUUGCAACCUACAGCACCAUCGACGCCAAAAGGCACCAUAGGCCAUCUUUGUAAUGGGAAUUGCUUGUACUCCCAAAAAUGAUUAGUGCGCCCAAAUGAUUGUUGUUUUCGUGCGGACACUUAAAAUUCACAUGUGACAUCAUUUGGAGUUGGAGAAAAAAAAGCGGAAAGCCAUUGUGGAAAAGACAGCACUCGGAAAGCACGAAUCUAUGCCACUUGAAAGUUUGAUUUUUCAACUGCCGUAUUGUAGGUAGGUAGGUACACUAGUAGUUUUGCUACCAACCAAACCAGUCUUGCUCUUGCGACAGAGAUUAUAUAACACUAACCAAUCUUAGCUUCUUUUUUAUUUGCUCGCAACUACUGAUAAGAAUGCUGCUGAAUAGAAGGCUCGCUAGGAAAAUCCAGGCAGCAAAGUAACUAGUGUUGCGACUUUCAUCGUGUUCCAACUUCGGAAAAAGUGACGACAAGUAAUUCAAAGCCACUUCAAAUUAAGUUUAGUUUUGAACCGGCACUAUU